rnacentral:misc_RNA from 1 species
GAUGAAGAACGUAGCGAAAUGCGAUAAGUAAUGUGAAUUGCAGAAUUCAGUGAAUCAUCGACUCUUUGAACGCACAUUGCGCCCGCCAGUAUUCUGGCGGGCAUGCCUGUUCGAGCGUCAUUUCAACCCUCAAGCCCCCGGGCUUGGUGUUGGGGAUCGGCGUGCCCUCGCGGCGCGCCGUCCCCUAAAUCUAGUGGCGGUCUCGCUGUAGCUUCCUCUGCGUAGUAGCAACACUCGCACUGGAUCGCAGCGCGGCCACGCCGUUAAACCCCCCACUUCUGAAAGUUUGACCUCGGAUCAGGUAGGAAUACCCGCUGAACUUAAGCAUAUCAAUAAGCGAGGA